GUUAAUUCAGUGCUAGUGCCAAUUCCUAAUUUUUAGUUUCCCAAAAAAAUAAUACCAAAUGGAAUCCAAAUGCCACAAACCUUUUGAUGAUUUUUUGGUAACAUAAGAGACCAUAUAGCUUAGACGAAGGACCAAAUGAAGUCCACAGGAGCGACAAGACUGCAUGGGGUGCCCUGGCAGUAGGUUGUCACAUGCGAGCUCAUCGUUCCCUCAUGGGCCCCUGACUUGAAACUGACGCCAAAAAUUCUCGUAAAUAUGGAAAACACUAGAAGAAACCUAGAACUUCAACUCCGAUGUUGCAAGGCUUUGUUCGAAAGAAAUCUCAACCACAACCCUUUUUUGGCACCCUGUCGGAGUUGUGAAAUCAUCACCGGAGGCCAUCUUCAUCAUGCCGGCGAUCUCCAUGACAAGGAGGGACUAGUUCACCCUUAUGGCUGAGGGUACGUACUAGUAUUCAUGUAUUUGAUCUCUCUUUGUCUCUCUCAUGUUCUUGAUUUGGCAUGAUCUUGAUGUAUCACAAGCUUCAUUAAUAUAGUUAGAUCAUAUGGUGUUCUGCCCUCUCUAUCUUGGGAUGAAUUGAGUCUUUCUCUUUGAGGUUUCGUUAUGUUGGAUUGAAGACUUUGGAUUUGAGAACACUUGAUUUAUGUCUUGAAUGUGGAUACCCAUAGUGACAAUGGGGUAUUUUAUUGAGUCACUUGAUGUAUGUUUGGGUAAUCAACUUGCGGAUUCCAGUGGUGACAUUGGGGUAAUCCAGGCACAUGGGUUGAUACACAUUUUCUUCCUAAUUUCUACAAUAGAAACUUUGUGGGUACUCUUUUAGGUGUUUGUGUGGAUUGAAUGUUAUGAAUAUGAAAUUUUUUGGAGUUAUUUCGUAUGAUCUCUAGGGUUGUUUGUGACACGUAUAGGGAUGGCUCAAUAGAUUGACCAGAAAAAUAACUAUUUGUUAUGCACUCUAGGUUGUUUGUGACACCUAUAGAGAUAGGUUAAUAUAUUGAUUGGAAAGAGGACUUUGAGUUGGUUUGCUGCCUAUAAUAAUUACUUCUUAUGAUCUCCGCUAUUGAGAAGGACUUUGGAGUGAUUCUUUGUCGCACGUUGAGGGAUGGUUAUAUGAUUCAACUAUGUUAGCCCUACUGAGAGAUUGCACUAGUGAAAGUAUGAAUCCUAAGUCUUGUUCCCAAGCAUUAAGAAAUAUUUAUUCUCACUUUUUACUACUUGUUACCUUGUUGUUUUUAUAUUUCUAGAUUACUAAAACGUAGAUCUACUAUCUAGACAACACUUGUAUCCCCAACUCUCCAGCGAACUAGUGCACCUAUACAAUUUAUCAUUGUAUUGGAUGUAUUGGUGAGACAAGAGAUUGUUUGCAUUUGAUUGAAGGGUUGUUUGAGAGAGACUAUGUUCAUCCUACACCCUGACAGAUUUAUAAACCUUAGGUCACUCACUUGAGGGAAAUUUGUUAAUGUCCUACAAAACUCCGCGCUUGGAGGCCGAAUAGAGUCUACAAGAACAAUGUUGUGUAGUGGACAUCAAAUGCCUACCGAUGCCUCUCCAAGCUUAAAUGCUCAAGAAUUAUUGUAACAUUACCUUGGGGUGCCUUGGGAAUUCCAAAGAUUGAGCUCUUGGGUCUUGUUAAUUUCUGCCAUAUAAUGGUUUCUCCCAACUAUCAAAAACUUCAUCCACACAAAACUUGACAACAACUCGUGAGAUAGGUUAAUAC
rnacentral:lncRNA from 1 species